GAAAUGCGAUAAGUAAUGUGAAUUGCAGAAUUCAGUGAAUCAUCGAAUCUUUGAACGCACAUUACGCCCCCUGGUAUUCCGGGGGGCAUGCCUGUUCGAGCGUCAUUUCACCACUCAAGCCUCGCUUGGUAUUGGGCAACGCGGUCCGCCGCGUGCCUCAAAUCGACCGGCUGGGUCUUCUGUCCCCUAAGCGUUGUGGAAACUAUUCGCUAAAGGGUGCUCGGGAGGCUACGCCGUAAAACAACCCCAUUUCUAAGGUUGACCUCGGAUCAGGUAGGGAUACCCGCUGAACUUAAGC
rnacentral:misc_RNA from 1 species